rnacentral:rRNA from 1 species
GACGAACGCUGGCGGCGUGCUUAACACAUGCAAGUCGAGCGGUAAGGCCCUUCGGGUACGACGAGCGGCGAACGGGUGAGUAACACGUGGGUGACCUGCCUUUAGCUCUGGGAUAAGCCUGGGAAACUGGGUCUAAUACCGGAUAUGACCUCAUGACGCAUGUUGUGGGGUGGAAAGCCUUGUGCGGCUAGAGAUGGGCCCGCGGCCUAUCAGCUUGUUGGUGGGGUGAUGGCCACCAAGGCGACGACGGGUAGCCGGCCUGAGAGGGCGACCGGCCACACCGGGACUGAGACACGGCCCAGACUCCUACGGGAGGCAGCAGUGGGGAAUCUUGCGCAAUGGGCGAAAGCCUGACGCAGCGACGCCGCGUGA